rnacentral:rRNA from 1 species
AACGCGAAGAACCUUACCUGGGCUCGAAAUGCUAUGGACCAGCUGAUGAAAGUCGGCCUUCCCGCAAGGGACCGUAGUAUAGGUGCUGCAUGGCUGUCGUCAGCUCGUGUCGUGAGAUGUUGGGUUAAGUCCCGCAACGAGCGCAACCCUUGUCCUGUGUUGCCAUACCGAAAGGUGGAACUCGCAGGAGACCGCCAGGGAUAACCUGGAGGAAGGUGGGGAUGACGUCAAGUCCUCAUGGCCUUUAUGUCCAGGGCUACACACGUGCUACAAUGGACGGUACAAAGGGCUGCCAACCCGCGAGGGGGAGCCAAUCCCAAAAAACCGUUCUCAGUUCGGAUUGCAGGCUGCAACUCGCCUGCAUGAAGCUGGAAUCGCUAGUAAUGGCGGAUCAGAACGCCGCCGUGAAUACGUUCCCGGGCCUUGUA